UACGUAGGGUGCGAGCGUUGCCCGGAUUUAUUGGGCGUAAAGGGCGCGUAGGCGGUGAGAUGCGUCCGUUGUGAAAUCGCCCGGCUCAACUGGGCGGGGUCAGCGGAUACGGUCUCACUUGAGCAAGCUAGGGGGCAAUGGAAUUCCCGGUGUAGUGGUGGAAUGCGUAGAUAUCGGGAGGAACACCAGUGGCGAAAGCGGCCCACUGGACCUUCUCUGACGCUGAGGUGCGAAAGCUAGGGUAGCAAACGGG
rnacentral:rRNA from 1 species